GCAUGGCUGUCGUCAGCUCGUGUUGUGAAAUGUUGGGUUAAGUCCCGCAACGAGCGCAACCCUUAUCCUUUGUUGCCAGCGNUUAGGCCGGGAACUCAAAGGAGACUGCCAAUGAUAAACUGGAGGAAGGUGGGGAUGACGUCAAGUCAUCAUGGCCCUUACGAGUAGGGCUACACACGUGCUACAAUGGCGCAUACAAAGAGAAGCGACCUCGCGAGAGCAAGCGGACCUCAUAAAGUGCGUCGUAGUCCGGAUUGGAGUCUGCAACUCGACUCCAUGAAGUCGGAAUCGCUAGUAAUCGUAGAUCAGAAUGCUACGGUGAAUACGUUCCCGGGCCUUGUACACACCGCCCGUCACACCAUGGGAGUGGGUUGCAAAAGAAGUAGGUAGC
rnacentral:rRNA from 1 species